GCCAUGCUGGCCUCUGAUGAGAAAAGGGGACGGAGAUGCCACUGAUUGAUUUGACCUUGCAGAGCUGUGGGGACAGGAUGUUCUGUUCUUUCCGAUGCUGUGAAGUGGUGUGGGUGAAGGGGACUUCCUGCUAAUCUGGGCUGGGAGAGCCUGGUGCUCCCCCACCUCAACGCCUCACAUCCACAUAGAGUUGACUUCCUCCAUUGGUUUCCUGCCUAAAUGCACUCGAAGUGACCACCAUCAAGAUGGAAAGAGCUUUUCACGAGGUCCAGAGGCGACGGCUGCACCCUGCUGAAACUCAAGUAGUUUUUUUUUUUUUUUCUUUUCAAGCCAUGACGAAAAGUGGCUGUGUUCUCCGGUCAAGCUAUUGUAGAAAGGCUGAAAGCAGCAGCCACGUUGGUCCCUCGAGCUCCAGAAACUACCCACAGGCCGUGCUGCCAUUCUGGCCUGUUAAUGUCCUUGCUUCAAUCGGGUUGACUUCUCGUGUUCAUCAGACCUGAUUCCCUGCUCGAUAAAACCCCAACCGUUAAGGGGAAAUGUUUGUCAUCUCAGCACCUGGUUUCAGGACCAAAGUUCUCGACUCACAGUUGCAAAAUCACCUUUGCCCAGGGAUCUCUGGUGGCUGAGUGCAGCGGGGACUACCCCAGGAGCUGUCUGGAUAGGCCGGGUAGGCAGUGGUGGGGAGUUCAGGUGACCGGGACUUCUAGGUUGUCAUGGAGAUUAUCAACCAUCUGAGGAAGCCUGCUGGGACAGGUAGGAGGUGAGGACCCCCCCCCACACACACACACACCCGAGCAAGUUGUCUGCCUUUUACCAAUUUCUUGGCACCUGGUGUACACAGCCUGGAAACGGGCUGUCCCUAAUCUUUGUUGGUAGCUACUUGGGCACUGGACUCUGGAAACAAAAGGGAAGCUAAGCACUGUGACUUCUCUUAGGAAAUGCAUCAAAUUCUCUUGCAAUUCUUCAGGGGCCCACAGAACCCAAGGGUGAUUUUUGUGGGUGUCCAGGAAGGGGAAGGUGCCUCUUGCCAUAUUCAGUCUGUAGGGCCCAACUACUAACUUGCCCUGAGAACCCUACCCUCAGAAUUUCUAGCCACUCACUCCAGUUAGGGCACCUGGCCAUGCUGAACAUCAUACCAGCUCUCCAUUGUUAAUUGCUGUGAUGAUCAAUAUUGACUAUGAACUUGAUAGGGUCUUAAAUAAUCUUGGAGACAAACCUCCAUCACGAGAGAGUUUCUAGAUGAAUGGAGGUGAGGCGAUAUACCCAAAAGGUGACUGGUCCUGGAAUGAAUAAAAACAAGAUUGAGAUGAA